GUCAUUACACAUUUGUCCAAACCCAUAGGAUGUACAACCCCAGAGUGAGCCCUACCGAAAACUGUGGACUGUGGAUGAUAAUGAUAUGUCAAUCCAAAUCUGACAUGCCCAGGGGACGUGGAAGAAGGGGAAGGAACAGAACUGCCACCAGUACUGGGGCCACUGCAAAGGCUGAGGGACCCAAUGUGGAGAGCCAAGGUUGGGAAGGAUGCAGAAUCCUGUGGCUGCGAUGCCUGCGGUGGGCUGGAACAGAAAAAGGCUACUCAGUGAAAUUUGGCAAUGGACACGAACUCACUUUCUCUCUCCUAGCUGUGCUUUUCCUGCAGGGACUGAACAAGGGCAGUGUGUGCACAUGUGGGAGUGCCAGAAGCACCAGUGCAGUCCAGAUGUGCCCAGGCCCAUCUGUGCAUGAAAAUGCAGACACACCCACACUAUUUAUCAAUUAGUGUCUGCUGCUGCCAGUAUCACCAGUUCUCUGCCUGAUGAAUGAUGCUAGGCUGGACACGCCACACCCCAAGAUAUCCCGCUGCACUCAGAUACGAGACUGAAGAAGCAAGAACGCUAUAAAAAAGAAAGAAUGAAAAGAAAGAAGAAAAGCAACUAAGCCCAGAGAUGGAUCCCAAAGCUGAAGAAUUGGUUUAAUUAAAUUGAAAGCUCUGGUGCUUGUGGUAAUUGCUAUGAAGGAAUCCAUAUCCCAUCAGAACCCUCUCCCCUGGAGUUUGCUCCCUCUACUUUCUCUGCAGCAGCCUGCUAGCCAGAGUAAAAGACUGUGUGCAUUUGAAGUCUCCAACCUUUUAAAACAUUACUGUGAAGUUGAAAGUUCCUGGUGUCUUUUGAUUAAACAUCGUGCUAGCAACAAUAAUAUUGACCACGUUUGAGACAGAAGAGCCACAAGAGGGAAUUAGCCUAAAUUCCUAAGUGCCCACCUGGAAAGGAUCCUCCUUGGAAGAUCUGUCAGAUCCACAGUAAACUUUGAAUGAAAGAGAAAUAAAAUGUUAUGCGUUAAA